GUUUUAUCUAUGUGGUAGCAUAUGUCAGAAUGUCCUUCUUUUUCAAGGCUGAGUAAUAUAUAAUGCAUGUACUACUUUUUAAAAAAAAAAUCCGUUUGCCUAUCAAUGAGCACCUGGGUUGUUUUUAUCUUUUGCUUACAGUGAGCAAAUGCUGCUCUGAAUAUAGGUAUACAAAUAUUUUUUUGAGAUCCUGUUUUUUUUAGAGAGAGAGAGAGAGAGAAUUUUAAUAUUUAUUUUUUAGUUUUCGGCAGACACAACAUCUUUGUAUGUGGUGCUGAGGAUCGAACCCAGGGCCGCACGCAUGGCAGGAGAGCAUGCUACCGCUUGAGCCACAUCCCCAGCCCUCAAGAUCCCGCUUUUAGUGUCUGUUUUGGUUUAGAGAUGAGGUGUCCCCCAAAAGUUCAUACAUAAGACAGUGCAAGAAAGUUUAGAGAUCAAAUGGUUGGGUUAUGAAAGCCUUAACCUGAUUCAUGCAUUAAUUCACAUGAAUAGAUUAACUGGGCAGUAAUUGUAAGCAGAUGGGUAUAUCUGGAAGAGGUAGAUCACUGGGGGUGAGCAUUUGGAGGUAUAUAUUUUGCCCCUGGUGAGCUGAAUUUGUCUCUCUCUGCUUCCUGAUUGCCAUGUCCUGAGCUGCUUUCCUCUGCCACACCCUUCUGCAUAAUGUUCUGCCUAAUCUCGGUCCCUGAGCAAUGGAUUCAGCCAUGCAUGGACUGAGACCUCUGAAACUGUGAGCCCCAAAUAAACUCUUCUUCCCCCAAAAUUGUUCUUGUCAGUUCUUUGGCUCACAGCAACAAAAAAAUUGACUACCACAGUGUAUUUUCU
rnacentral:lncRNA from 1 species